rfam:Latescibacteria bacterium DG_63 WOR1_52_54_2793, whole genome shotgun sequence.
GGAGAGAUGUCCGAGUUGGCUGAAGGAGCACGAUUGGAAAUCGUGUGGUCAGGAAACUGGCUCGGGGGUUCGAAUCCCCCUCUCUCCG